UUGUCGAAUCCUGCAAAGCAGACGACCGCGAACUUGUGUAAUUGCCGGGCGUCGGGGAACGGGGGAGACUAAAGCCUCCCCUAACUCCCCGGCGCUCCCCGCGCACCGCGCGGACAACAACUCAACCCCGGCGCGGAAAGCGCCAAGGAAAACUCAAAAGGAUUGCCCGCCUCCCCGUGCGCGGGGUGUGUUGUGGCGUCUGUCGUAACCAAAACGACUCUCGGCAACGGAUAUCUCGGCUCUCGCAUCGAUGAAGAACGUAGCGAAAUGCGAUACUUGGUGUGAAUUGCAGAAUCCCGUGAACCAUCGAGUCUUUGAACGCAAGUUGCGCCCGAAGCCAUUAGGCCGAGGGCACGCCUGCCUGGGCGUCACGCAUCGCGUCGCCACCCCCCCUUUGCGGGGCGGCGGAUACUGGCCUCCCGUCCYAAGAAGGAGCGGCUGGCCUAAAUUCGAGUCCUCGACGGGGGACGUCACGACAAGUGGUGGUUGAAUGCCUCAACUCGAUUCCUGUCGUGUUCAUUGGCCUCGUCGUUUCUCGGGCUCCUUGACCCUUCUUGCUUGCAUCUCGAUGCGAGCCUCGACCGCGACCCCA
rnacentral:rRNA from 1 species